GCCAUUUCAAAAUAUGGCAAAGAAAUAUUUUGGGUUGUGUGUAAACUUCAAAAGAGAAAGCGUACAAUGAGGCACAUCUGACCUCUAUCUCCUGUCAUGGUAAAGUAGCUUCAUUGUCUGGGAUUUUGCAAUAAUGAAGACACCUGUCCAUAACCAACUAAGAAAAUGACCUUUUCAAAAUGACGGAAUACAUAUAUUUUUUAAGGCAAAUACAUAAAAACUUUGG